UAGGGAAUCUUCCACAAUGGACGCAAGUCUGAUGGAGCAACGCCGCGUGAGUGAAGAAGGUUUUCGGACCGUAAAGCUCUGUUGUUGGUGAAGAAGGAUAGAGGUAGUAACUGGCCUUUAUUUGACGGUAAUCAACCAGAAAGUCACGGCUAACUACGUGCCAGCAGCCGCGGUAAUACGUAGGUGGCAAGCGUUGUCCGGAUUUAUUGGGCGUAAAGCGAGCGCAGGCGGAAGAAUAAGUCUGAUGUGAAAGCCCUCGGCUUAACCGAGGAAUUGCACCGGAAACUGUUUUUCUUGAGUGCAGAAGAGGAGAGUAAAACUCCAUGUGUAGCGGUGGAAUGCGUAGAUAUAUGGAAGAACACCAGUGGCGAAGGCGGCUGUCUGGUCUGCAACUGACGCUGAGGCUCGAAAGCAUGGGUAGCGAACAGGAUUAGAUACCCUGGUAGUCCAUGCCGUAAACGAUGAGUGCUAAGUGUUGGGAG
rnacentral:rRNA from 1 species